rnacentral:rRNA from 1 species
CACUAUGCCUAGCCCUAAACAUUGGCAGUACGCUACAUCUACUGUCCGCCUGGGAACUACGAGCACCAGCUUAAAACCCAAAGGACUUGGCGGUGCUUCAGACCCACCUAGAGGAGCCUGUCCUAGAACCGAUAAUCCCCGUUAAACCUCACCCUUCCUUGUUCUUUUCAGCCUAUAUACCACCGUCGUCAGCUUACCCUGUGAAGGCCCAAUAGUAAGCGAGAUCGGCACUGCCCCAAACGUCAGGUCGAGGUGUAGCCUAUGGAGGGGGAUGAGAUGGGCUACAUUCACUGGUACAGUGAAUACGGAUGAUCACUCUGAAAUGGGUAUCUGAAGGAGGAUUUAGCAGUAAGCAAAAAAUAGAGUGUUUUGCUGAAGUUGGCCCUGAAGCGUGCACACACCGCCCGUCACUCUCCCCAAAACUUAGCCCGGAUAUAUAACUAAUACCCCACAAAAACUAAGGGGAGGCAAGUCGUAA